GAACGCUGGAAAGUAGCCGUCCCUCGGGACGACUCGCCGAAGGAGCAAAGGGCGCGCCCAAUCUCGGCCCGGGCGGGCUCGAAAUCUCUCAGGUUCCCAGGACAGCGGGG
rnacentral:ncRNA from 1 species